rnacentral:rRNA from 1 species
CCGGCACGGAGGUAGUGACGAAAAAUAACGAUACGGGACUCUAACGAGGCCUCGUAAUCGGAAUGAGUACACUUUAAAUAUUUUAACGAGGAACAAUUGGAGGGCAAGUCUGGUGCCAGCAGCCGCGGUAAUUCCAGCUCCAAUAGCGUAUACUAAAAUUGUUGCGGUUAAAAAGCUCGUAGUUGCAUUUGUGCGCCGCGCUGUCGGUGCACCGCAUUAGCGGUGAUACUGACACGUCUGCGGAGCAUAUCGUCGGUGAGCCGUCGGUAAAACGACGGUUCAAUAUCAAAAUCCUAUCGCGGUGCUCUUCGGUGAGUGUCGAGGUGGGCCGACAAUUUUACUUUGAACAAAUUAGA